ACCCACAUUUUUUUAAAUCAGAAAUUUUCUAACUCCAAGCAUUCCUUGGCUCAGCUAAUUCCUACACAUCUUUCUAAUUUCAGCUUAGAUGAUUUUCUAACAGAAAGCUCUUUCUGAUGGAUUCACUAAUUUACAUUAGGUGUACUAACCCCCCAUGUAUUCAACAGCACUGCUUACUUCUUACAGUUUACCUUAUCAUAAGAAAACAUCUAUCAAUUGCAUACACCAAUUUCAUGUUUUAUAUCUUAUUUCUUUAAUUUCUUCUCCAAACAACCCUUCUACUGGUAACAACUUAAUCUUCAGAUAAGAUACAAGAAAACGAUGACCUGAAGUUACUGAAGAGUGAAAAACAGGAAGCAGAUUCAGGAGGAGAGGUCAAAAAUUGUUAGAAGGGGUCAGAGUAAAAUGAGUUUCCUGUUUUUAUGGCUUUUAUUCUGAGGGCAGGCCAAGGUCAGCAAUGUAUGCAGUGGUUAAAACUAUGAUAAAAAUCUGAAGUCUUUUUGACCUGAAAAACAGAGGGCAGAGGUGGGGGAAUAUAGCCAUGACAAUGAGGGAGGGACUCCUGAGAUAUAGAAAGCCAGAGAAAGGGAGCUCCAAAUUCUCUGUAAAAAUACUGUUCAAGCCCCUGGCUGACCCCUGAUCUGUGCAAGUGCAGAAAGACUCAAAGCUUCCUAGCUAGUGAUGAAACACUGAACUGAAAUUGAGCUGCUACUCAAGAGACAUAAUUUGCAUAUUUAGUGUAACCAAGUUAAUAUCCUGUAAAAACAAAAACAUCAAUACCCUUUUGAGGAGCAUGACAGAAUGUAGAGUCUCUACAACACAAUAUUUACAAUGUCUGGGAUGUAAUACAAAUUUGUUCUCUGCCUGGACAACCAAUCUCAAAAAAUAAUAAUAAAGAAAAUUCUAUUGAGAUCAACCAUGAGAUGAUCCAGAUGUUGGAGUUAGCAGAUGUAUAUUUUAAAGCAGCUAUUAUAAUUAUAUUCAAUGAAGUCAUGGAAAAUAAGUUAAUAAUACAUGAGAAACAUAGAAAAUCUCAGUAGAGAAAUAGAAAUAAAUGGAAAUUCUAGAACUGAAAUAGAAGAAGCAAAAUUAGAAUUCCCUAGAUAGGUUUAACAGCAGAAUGGAGAAGAUAGAGUCAUGAGUUAAUUUAAAGAUGGUUAAUAGAAGACUAAUCUGAAGACAGGUAAAAUAAGAUUGAAAAAAAUGAACAGGACUUUGGGGACCUAUGAGGCAAUAAAAUGAUAACAAUAACAAAAGCAUUGCAUAAUCAAACUGUUGACAACCAAGGGUAUUGGGGAAAUCUUGAAGCAGCCAGAAAAUAAAGAAAUUUCAUAUACAAGGGAGGAAGAAAAUUAAUAUAUGAGAAAAUAAACCGGAACAGUGGAGGAAUGGGGGCAGGGGGAAUCUGGGAAUUGACAUGAAAAAAUUUAGGGGUUGAUAUCAUGAUAGAGGUUUGGGUUGCAUAGGUGUGUACAUUUCUUAAGACAAGUGCAUACUUAACAUUAGUAUGUUUCAUUGUGUGUAAAUUUAAAGUUUACAUCAAAAGAGGAAAUAACUAAAUAAAAAAUAGCAGUUAACUCCCACUAGCUUGAGGUACUGUAAGGCAGGAAUCACUUCAUUCCCAUCAUUGUGUUUCUUGUGGGGACUACAGUGCAUGACAUAGGGUAGAUGCUUAGUAAUUUUUUUCAGUUACAUUUAAUUCCACAUAUUUCUUUUUCAUUUCUACUGAUGUAAUGCAGAUGAGUAGAACACAACCAAAUUCAUGCAGAUCUCCUGUGGAGCACACCCUCACAGAUAUACCCGGAAACACUUCACCACUCAUGGAGGCAUCUCUCUCUCCAGUAAAGCUGACACCUGGUCCUGUAACUGUAUCUUCAAAAGGCUAUUCUAUCAUUCUCUCAGAGCAGCUGCUUCAGGAUGGUCAGAAACAUGGUAAGGCCAGUGAAUUGCAUGAGCAUAAGCCAUACUUCUUUGGCUGUGGAGCAAGUUUCUUUGUCAGAAUCAAUCCCUCCACUGUGAUAGCUACGCAGAGCGUCUGUGAUGGUCCUGUAGGCUUCCGAGGCGAUCAGGCAGUGUCAGUCUUCAGCUGCUAAGCCAAGAAGAUCUGGGAAGGAGUCAGUCAGAGAGCCUUGGGUCAGAGUUCCAGGGGCUCUGGGAGUGGUUGCCAGGUGAGUUGAACAGUCCGAUUUUCAGUGGGGUCCUGUACAGAUGGGAUGCGGCUUAGGAGGAAUCCCAGGCUGCGGGCAUUCCUUGGCCUGGUGGCCAGAUUUCUGGCACUUGUAGCAAGCUCCUGGGGGAGGCAGGCCUGGAGGAACGCCUGGCCACUGUGGUUUAGGCGUUUGGAAGUUCUUGUGUGCUGGAGAUGUGGCUGGGGUUUGUCUCACAGUGGAGGUAAGGAAUUGCAACUCAGAAAUAUGUUGCUACUUGGCUGCCUCUACUCUAUUAUUGUACACCUUGAAGGCAAGGUUGAUUAAGUCCUGUUGUGGGGUUUGAAGGCCGGAAUUUAAUUUUUGGAGUUUUAUUUAAUGUCAGGAGUGGAUUGGGUAAUAAAAUGUAUAUUGAGAAUAAGACGGCCUUUUGACCUUUUAGGGUCUAGGCUAUAAAGCAUCUCAGGGUUGCUGCCAAAUGAGCCAUGAACUGGGCUGGGUUUUUAUAUUUGAUGAAAAAGAGCCUAAACGCUAUCUGAUUUGGGAUAAAGAAAAAG
rnacentral:lncRNA from 10 species